rnacentral:lncRNA from 1 species
AAUAUUAAAACUAACUAUUAAUUUUGGAAUUUGGGAAAACUACAUGCAUAUAUACAUCAAAAUAGACUCCAAAAUGGGGAAAAAUAUGUAUUUUUUAAAGUGACAAUAAUGAGAUGAUUUGUGGAUUAAUAUUGAGGGUUGUGUAGUUUAAAUGGUUUGAGCAAAUUGUUGAAGGAGUUGGAGGAGUUAAAAGACUAAGAUGGUGAAGGAGAAAAUAUAAAUUUAAAUCUGAUUAUUAAUUUGUUUAUAAACCUCUAAAAAUAAUAAUUUGUCUAUUAGAAAUAACCAUUAUUGUCACUUUAAAAAUACACAUUUUUCCUAUUUUGAUG